UACGUAGGGGGCGAGCGUUGUCCGGAAUUAUUGGGCGUAAAGAGCUCGUAGGCGGUUGGGUAAGUCGGGUGUGAAAACCCACGGCUCAACCGUGGAAGUGCACUCGAAACUGGAUGGCUAGAGUCCUGGAGAGGAAGGUGGAAUGCUUGGUGUAGAGGUGAAAUUCGUAGAUAUCAAGCGGAACACCGGUGGCGAAGGCGGCCUUCUGGACAGUGACUGACGCUGAGACGCGAAAGCGUGGGGAGCAAACAGG
rnacentral:rRNA from 1 species